rnacentral:rRNA from 1 species
AAACUUGAGAGUUUGAUCCUGGCUCAGAACGAACGCUGGCGGCAGGCCUAAAACAUGCAAGUCGAGCGCCCAGCAAUGGGAGCGGCGGACGGGUGAGUAACACGUGGGAACAUGCCUUUCGGUACGGAACAACUCAGGGAAACUUGAGCUAAUACCGUAUGCGCCCUAACGGGGAAAGAUUUAUCGCCGAAGGAUUGGCCCG